rnacentral:ncRNA from 1 species
AUUUCAUAAAAGCAAAAUUAUUAAAAGAUAAUUACGCAAAGCAAGGGGUCUAAGGCUAAAUGCUAUGAUAGCCCGGCUGCCACC